GUAUAGAGUCCUGAAGUCCGAGACGCUGCGGGCGAGGCUGCACAGAUCCGGUUCCUGAACCAUUGAUUCCCGCGUGGCUGCACCUUCCCGACCUAGGCCAGUUCUGGGAGGCUUGCUGUCCACGAACCAACGCCAGGGAAGGAUGCCCCAGGAGUGUGUUUUUUUCAGCUGCUGCGCGGGGCAGGAAAACUUCCUGGCGGGUAAAUACUGGGCGCUGGAUCCACGAGGAGAUGCAGUGUUUUAUCUAUCUAUGGGUGGGCGACAUGUCCUUUUUCAACUUGUUGCCUUUGCUCAAGCUUUCUCUCCACUUGGAACAUGUUUCUGACACUUAGCCUCCACGAGUGGAAACUGUUCUCCAAGGAAGAGCUCCUAGAUCGUCUAGCCGGAAGUCCCCUCUUUCAGGCUCUGAACCUGCAGCUUGUGUUAGCAAAGGACAUGCAUGUCACUUAUCACUUCCCACUUAAUUCUAUAGCUGUAUGUGCCUGCCUGGUCGCCCCAGUUAGACUGUAAGCUCCAUGAGGGCAGUGUCCCGGGGUUGCUUUUGCCCUUGUAUCCCUGGCAGCAGCCGCACAGAGCAGUAUGUGAAAGGAAGAUAGAGUUAUGACUAAACUUUGGUAUUCGACAGCUCUUGCUUGGCCUAGUCAGUGUGUGAUCUUCGGCGUUUCUAAGUCUGUUUUCUCGUCUAUAAAACGAAGGCAGUAAUACCUUUUUUGGUUGUUGCUAGGGUUGAAUGAGGCAAAACAUGCCAGAAUCUUAGUGCACGGCCUCACGCGUGUUAAGCGCUCAGUACGUGUCAACGACUGCUUUUCUGUAUGGGAGGUCAAGCAGUGUUUGUUGACUGCAUUGGUGGUGCGUGGCUGGAGUGUGGCACAUACUGAGAGCAGGAUCUGUCCUCACAAGGGAGGUGACCCAGCCUUGGCAGCCUUCUUUUCCACCUAUUGAAAUCAGGAGCCUGAAUGUAGGCCUUGCCUCUCCGACAGGCUUUUAAAAUUUCUCUACCUACACGCCUUCUGGCACCUUCAUGAGGCCCUGGUUGUUUUCUGGGGGAGUCUAUACAGUCCCCCACAGAUUCUGGAAACUCUGAGCUGGAAACUCUGGGACCAUCUUCUCCCACAAUAGGCAUUUGCUCGCUACCAGGCCUAGCCCAGUGAGGAGCAGCGGGCGCUGCUUUGAGGGCCACAGAAAGACCCGUGUGCAGCGCUGGCCUUAAAAAAAUAGGGAACGGUUCCAGCUCAACCGUGGCUGUCCUCAUCCGGCCCCAGCCAAUCCAAGCAUUUUUUGGCGGUCAGGAUGGCGGAGCUGAAAGAGACCCGUCUCACCUGGAAGGGGCAGGUGAAAGGUGCA
rnacentral:lncRNA from 10 species